CGCUGAGGAGAACCACAGUUGCCCUGGGGACCUACCUGAGCUUCCAGAGAGCCCUGCCACUCCCAACGCUGAGGAGCUGCUACUGCUACCUUUGGCGGUGUAUACUGGGGAGACUGAGGAUGACCCCUGGAUGCAGGCCCCUUGAUGAGUGCUACUGGAGGCCAAAUGAGUGAUGACUCUUGUUGUUGCAAGGUUAGCUGCUACUGACAGAAAAUGGAUUGCAAGAGGAAUUAUGCUUUCCAAGGUCACCCUUAAGGAAAAUGCUUCCGGGAGAAUUAUUUUUGGAAUCCUAUUUUAAAAGUCAGGUUCCUAAACUAGGCCUCUCAGUUCAUCACUUUGGCACUCAGGAGUUUGGGUACCCAACAGCUGAUUUAAAUGCCCAAAUGCAGAAAAGCUUGUCCUGA